CUCAGAUGUUGAAGUUAUCGACUGGCUGACCACAACGCCGCCAUAUUGCAAUUGAAAAUUGGUUCGUGAUUUGGUGAGCUUUUGUCCGCAUGUAAUAAUGAACCGAAAUCGCUUGGAUAAAGUUUUAUGAGGUGAGCUUUUGUUACUUCGGACCGUACGAUUGAUGGCUGCCAUAAAUCGACACCAAUAUUUCUUCGGGAUAUGCUAACAUGCAACAGUACCGUGCAGCAUAUUUUGUUAGCAUGCCGAGUGAACGGAGGAAACUUUCUCGAACCAUUUACACCUAUCCGCAACUGCACCGAAAACCGUUUCCACUGAGGGAAGCCACUAUGGAGCAGUUUACUUCCUGAACUUCCCUACUUAUGAACAUUGUGUAGGUAAUGGAAUCAUCUAUUUUUCUGCAUCCACAAUAAGCGUACCCGUUUUUUAAUGUCCCACUUAUUUUCCUGGAUGUCCUUCAUUUUCCACAUAAUCACUGUGGCAAUCUACAGCAUUUGUCGUCGUCUAAGAAAACCAGAUUUACGUGCCGCUCAAUUAUGUUCUCUCCACGGUGGUAAAUAACUCGUGUGAAACAUGAAAGUUUCGAGUGAGAGGCCGCUCACCUUUUGCCCUACCAUUUCACCGGAUGGGGAAUUCAUGGUCAAGAUGACACGCUGCCCCUGGAUGAUAUAACCAUUACACUCGAGAGUUGCGGAUGGACCGAUCAGGACAACGAAUCAUAGGUAACCGCGAUUCUACCGAUGUAAAUACUGUAAAUAAUGGUAAAUUACAGUAAAACUAACAAUUCAAUAAUCUGCUGCAUUUCACUAUGUCGCUCGUGUGCGUAUGUAUGUAUGUGCGUAUGUAUGUAUGCAAUAAAAAUUAGAA